UACGUAGGGUGCGAGCGUUGUCCGGAAUUAUUGGGCGUAAAGAGCUUAUAGGCGGUUUGUCGCGUCUGCUGUGAAAAUCCGGGGCUCAACCCCGGACUUGCAGUGGGUACGGGCAGACUGGAGUGGUGGUAGGGGAGAAUGGAAUUCCUGGUGUAGCGGUGGAAUGCGCAGAUAUCAGGAGGAACACCGAUGGCGAAGGCAGUUCUCUGGGCCGUAACUGACGCUGAGGAGCGAAAGCGUGGGUAGCGAACAGG
rnacentral:rRNA from 1 species